UAGGUUUUUGUGUCAAAGGUGAAGAUCCUUUCAGAGGAUCAGGCUGUAGGACGCCCUCAAGUUUGACUAUCGUAGAACGUGGCACACCUCUUACUUUCAUCAAUCUUCUUCAGAUGACUUGGGAGGAUCGCCUGAGGGUAUGCCUUGGUAUAAGUAGACUGAUGGUUUAUCUGUCCGAAUCACCCAUCGGAUCCCUGGCCAUCCAUGAUUACAAGCUUUCUCAAUUCAUCAUCGUUGAUGGAGAGAUUAAACUUGCGGACCUCGACGAUGUCGAUAACAAUCAUUCGCCGUGUUCGACGAGCUCGGAGUGCAGUAUUGAUAUGGGAACCAAUAUUACAGUCUACACCUCGUGUAGCAAUGAAGUCUGUUCUAACUUCAGUCAGAAAUCUAACAUGGCACAUUCCUACCUCAAGUUCUUCGUUUUCCUGCAACUCGAACAUCCACCUGGGAUGAGUGAACUCAUAGGACAAUUUAUUAAUAAUACCAAAAAGAUUCUGUGGUCUCCAAGACAGUGCUUGCAGCAUGUGCAGACAAUACUCAAUUAUUAUAAGCAGGGAAAAUAUAUAGACCAAGGAUAUACCUCCAAUAUUAAUGAUUCACAUUUCCAUGUUUAUCAUGAUCAUACUGCCGAUCAAGCUGAGGAAUAUUGGUGUCCUGGUACCAGACAACUCGCUGCUAUAUGUGUGCUGUCUGUACACGAUGAGAAUGAAGCAAUAAGAAUAUGUCUUCGAGAUCGACAGUGUGCAGCCUUUGUCUUGACUCCGGAAAGAACAUGGACAGGAAGAUACAUCGCUCGGUUCAAGAAAGCCAUUUCAAUGACGUCUAUCCAACCUAGCAAAGGAAAUACUCUAUUUGUGUUUCCAACGUAAAACCGUUGGUUCGAUCAUGUAGACCCCCAUCCUCCACGCCACUACUUGGAGGACUAUCGUUAUGGUAUAGCUUUCAUCCAGGAUAUUUCUUUUUAUUCAUAGAACACGCGGGGACAUUUAAUAAAACAAAAAGUCAGUUAUUUUCACUGACUAUUGAAAUGAGCUUUUAAAAAAUGCAUGCAUCUGAUUGGCUCAGAGCAUGCACUCUAGAAAAAAUAUUGGGUAAAAAUGAGAUCCAUGGUGGUAAUUAUGUGUCCAACCAACAUUGUGCAUUUCUUUUUGUGGCAUUUUUAUUUAUCCAAAUUGUGACGAAAAAUUUUGCCCAUUCUAAAUUAAUUGCUGCUUAUUUUCAACAUUACUGGACAAUAUGCUUCCCGCAUUGGGUAAAAUACAGCCCCAAAUUGGUUUAACACAUUAUUACCCCCGUGCUGGUUAAAGUUUCACCCAAUAGUUUUUACAGUGUGUUUUGUCAGUGAAGUCGAUGACUGCUUUUCGUGAAACACUUCCCAAGUUUUUACAAGUACCAUUUUAAACCUGACGUCAAAAUCAAUCAACAGAGGGGAAAGGGUAUUUUUUUAUGGGGUUUAAGGUAUUAUUCCUGUCGUUCGCCCCGAAUUCAGGGUCCCUUGCCAUAAUGGCAAAGUUACAACAGUUGUAACUCUUUAUGAAACGGGCCCAGAUGUGUAUUAACAUGGAUUAAGCUGUGCUGAUAACGGUAGUCAAUUAUAGCUCCAGUCCAGAAGAGGCGCAAAAUUCAUAACAUUUUGUCAAAAGAGGUCAAGAAGAAUACAUAUUGAAGAUGAGAUAAUAAUGGUGAUGACUAAGAAGAAAGGGAAGAAGGAAUGGGACUAAAUAGAUAUGGCAAUUUCUAUGAAGAUCAAUGAUUCGUAAUGACAAGAGUCUUAUCAGACUUAUAUGUAUUAUUUAUCAUAAAGCAAUAAAAAUUAACUUCCUUUAAAUUUGAUUAUGGAUAAAAAUUGAAUCAUUGUUAGGGUGAUCCUAUAAUAAUACUUCUGGUAUUGAUUGUAUUAAGAAAUGUAAUAUCUCGUUAUGGAUUCACUGUUUAUUCUAAAAAAAAUCAAUUACCAAACAAAUAUUCACCCACUAGGCCUUGUUUCUUGAGUUGUACUUUCUGCUAUAAUGGUGGUUGACGGUGGUUGAUGAUGAUGAUGAUGAUGAUGGUGAUGGUAACGAUGAUGAUGAUGAUGAAGAUGAAGAUGAUGAUGGUGAUGAUGAUAAUGACAAUGAUGACGGUGAUGACGAUGAUAAUGAUGAUGAUAAUGGCGAUGAUGACGGUGAUGAUGAUGAUGAUGAUGAUGAUGAUAAUGGCGAUGAUGACGACGAUGAUGAUGACGGUGAUGACGAUGAUGAUGAUGAUGAUGAUGAUGAUGAUAAUGGCGAUGAUGACGGUGAUGAUGAUGAUGAUGAUGGUGGUGAUGGCGAUGAUGACGGUGAUGACGAUGAUGAUGAUGAAGAUGAUGAUAAUGAUGAUAAUACUUAUGACGACGACGACGAUGAUGAUAAUAAUAGAUUGAUUAUUUUAUUUCCAUGAAAUAAUUGACCACAUACAGUAUAAAAUGAAUUAACAAUAAUGUUUCAUAGUAAAAUGAUAGCAGUCAUUGUAUGGGAGGGGCAGUCAUAGGCACAAAGGCAUGGUAAAGGACGCCUCUCAAAGAAAAAAUAUGGCCUUUAUCGUUAAAUAAAUUCAAUUCAAUUUCAAUUUCAAUUUAUUUGCUCAUAAAAAUCCAUACAAAAACAUACAUACUGUAUAUACAAAGUAUCAUAUUCACAAAAUAAUGGGUAAAAAACAUUGGCUGGAAAAGGUCUUUAAUUCAGAUUUGAAUGUCUCGAUGAGAGUGAUGGUGGGAGGGCCGUCGGUAAAGGGGGUGUGGGGAUGCGACAUCCUCUCCCCCCCCCCCCGCCUACUCUGAAUAUCAUCAGAAAAAUGAAGAAAAUGGGUAAAAACGAAAAAAAAAAGAGGGAAGAGGAAAGAAAAUGGAAAGAAGAAAAAUUGAAAAAGAAAAAAGGACGGAAGGAAGGAAGGAAAAGGCAGAGAGAAAGAAGAAAACAAAAGGAGAAAAUCAGAGAGAGAAGGUGUCAUGGUCGACGAGGUUUAAAUAGGUAAACCUGUGUGCAGGGCCGUCGCUAAAGGGGGGAGGUGGGGGUGCAACGUACCCCCCCUUCCCACUACUCUGGAUAUCGUCGGUAAAUCUGCGCUGCCGUCGGGGAAAAUGAAGAAAACGGCGGGAGGGGGAAAAGGAAGGGAGAAAGAGGAAAGGGAGAGAAGGG